GAUGAACGCUAGCGGCAGGCUUAAUACAUGCAAGUCGUGGGGCAGCAUGAGUAGCAAUACUUGAUGGCGACCGGCAAACGGGUGAGGAACACGUACACAACCUUCCUUCAAGCGGGGAAUAGCCCAGAGAAAUUUGGAUUAAUACCCCAUAAUAUAUUUGAUAAGGCAUCUUAUUAAUAUUAAAGCUUCGGCACUUGAUGAUGGGUGUGCGGCUGAUUAGAUAGUUGGCGGGUAACGGCCCACCAAGUCUACGAUCAGUAGCUGAUGUGAGAGCAUGAUCAGCCACACGGGCACUGAGACACGGGCCCGACUCCUACGGGAGGCAGCAGUAAGGAAUAUUGGAUAAUGGACGAAAGUACUGAUCCAGCCAUGCCGCGUGAAGAUUAAGGUCCUCUGGAUUGUAAACUUCUUUAUAU
rnacentral:rRNA from 1 species